UACGUAGGGUGCAAGCGUUAAUCGGAAUUACUGGGCGUAAAGCGUGCGCAGGCGGCUAUGCAAGACAGAUGUGAAAUCCCCGGGCUCAACCUGGGAACUGCAUUUGUGACUGCAUAGCUAGAGUACGGUAGAGGGGGAUGGAAUUCCGCGUGUAGCAGUGAAAUGCGUAGAGAUGCGGAGGAACACCGAUGGCGAAGGCAGCCCCCUGGGCUAGCACUGACGCUCAGGCACGAAAGCGUGGGGAGCAAACAGG
rnacentral:rRNA from 1 species